GAUGAAGACGUAGCGAAAUGCGAUAAGUAAUGUGAAUUGCAGAAUUCAGUGAAUCAUCGAAUCUUUGAACGCACAUUGCGCCCUUUGGUAUUCCAAAGGGCAUGCCUGUUCGAGCGUCAUUUGUACCCUCAAGCUUUGCUUGGUGUUGGGCGUCUUGUCUCUAGCUUUGCUGGAGACUCGCCUUAAAGUAAUUGGCAGCCGGCCUACUGGUUUCGGAGCGCAGCACAAGUCGCACUCUCUAUCAGCAAAGGUCUAGCAUCCACUAAGCCUUUUUUUCAACUUUUGACCUCGGAUCAGGUAGGGAUACCCGCUGAACUUAAGCAUAUCAAUAAGCGGAGGA
rnacentral:misc_RNA from 1 species